rnacentral:rRNA from 1 species
AACCCUGGUGGCGAGUGGCGAACGGGUGAGUACAACAUCCGAACGUGCCCUGUUGUGGGGGAUAGCCCGGGGAAAGCCGGAUUAAUACCGCAUACGACCUAUGGGUGAAAGCGGGGGACCGUAAGGCCUCGCGCUACAGGAGCGGCCGAUGCCUGAUUAGCUUGUUGGUGAGGUAAAGGCUCACCAAGGCGACGAUCAGUAGCUGGUCUGAGAGGAUGACCAGCCACACUGGGACUGAGACACGGCCCAGACUCCUACGGGAGGCAGCAGUGGGGAAUUUUGGACAAUGGGCGCAAGCCUGAUCCAUCCAUGCCGCGUGCGGGAAGAAGGCCUUCGGGUUGUAAACCGCUUUUGGCAGGAACGAAACGGCGUUAGCUAAUACCUAGCGCUAAUGACGGUACCUGCAGAAUAAGCACCGGCUAACUACGUGCCAGCAGCCGCGGUAAUACGUAGGGUGCAAGCGUUAAUCGGAAUUACUGGGCGUAAAGCGUACGCAGGCGGCUAUACAAGACAGGCGUGAAAUCCCCGGGCUCAACCUGGGAACUGCAUUUGUGACUGUAUGGCUAGAGUCCGUUAGAGGGGGGUGGAAUUCCACGUGUAGCAGUGAAAUGCGUAGAGAUGUGGAGGAACACCGAUGGCGAAGGCAGCCCCCUGGGAUGAGACUGACGCUCAUGUACGAAAGCGUGGGGAGCAACCAGGAUUAGAUACCCUGGUAGUCCACGCCCUAAACGAUGUCAACUAGUUGUCGGGUCUUUACAGACUUGGUAACGCAGCUAACGCGUGAAGUUGACCGCCUGGGGAGUACGGUCGCAAGAUUAAAACUCAAAGGAAUUGACGGGGACCCGCACAAGCGGUGGAUGAUGUGGAUUA